AAUUCCGCAGCAAGCCUGGAAGAGAUUCCUCCUUUGUCAAGUAUCUCUUACUCCCUGCUCCACCCCAACACUGGGUAGGAGAGAAAAGGAGGUGGUAGGGAGGGGUCAGAGUUCUAUUUAGCUACUUCCUGCUGGCUAAGGUUCCUGUGCAAAGUCCAGUCUUCAUUUCAGGAGCUCUCCAACUUCUCCUCACACUGCAUCAACAGCAACAGGAGCAGCAGAAGGAAGCACCCCAGCAUUCUUCUUUCUCGGAGCUCCCUUCCUCUCUGAGCUCUCCAGAGUCCUCAGAGUUAAACUAUGUGCAGUUGGCAAAGAGCCCCUCCCAGAGGCCUCAUGAGGCAAAUAGUCUGCUGCUGUGGACCAUCUGAAUCCGUCCCACAUCCCACACCUGGGACCAGAACAAAACCAUCUUUACAUCACAACAACGAUGCAAACCCACCAAAGGGCCAGCUACAUGUCUGCAUGUUUGCAUCUAUCUCUUACAGUUACAAGCACGUCUUUAUGUGUCUCUUCAAAGACCCGGGCCCUAUGUCAGGCACAGUGCUGGACCUGGACCUGAAGACUCAGCUGUGCCCCAUGAAGACAGGACCACGUGAUCUUCCUUUGUGAUUUUUUGGUAUCUAACUUAUGUGUAGCCUGGCCUGGCACAUAGCUGUCACCAACAGAUGAGCACUGGAUGAGAAGCUCUCCCUUGCCAAGAUGAUGUAAGUUUUAUUCUCCAGUUCCAUUCCAUUGUCUCCUGUUCUCAGAAGUGAGCCUUCUCCAAGCACGCCCUCAGAAUACGUCAUCCCGACCUGUCACAGAUGAAGCCCCUGCGGGGCUGAGCAAGCACCGGGUGGGGGAGGCGGCUGCAGAGCUGCUUUCUCUAGCUGGCUCGUGACAGCCGGAACGUCAGACAGCGGCGGAGGUCUGUCUACUGCAGCAAUUGCUCGUCUUUGAGCCUCCUGUUUUCUUCUCCUAAAACCCUGUCAUGGUCACUUUUGAACUAAAUAAUGACUGUGAUUCAGUCAAAAAACAAACUCGGGCACCCACUGGUUGCUGCUUUCACGGACCUUCGUGUUAGGAAAGAAAACACGACAAAGAAGGACAGAUGUCAUAAACAUGCCGAGAAGUGCUGUCAUCCCACCACCAGUUUUUAAGGCUGUGUGUCUUUCCCGGAGGUGGGAUGUGACAAGCUGGUUCUAUGGAGGAGGAGUUUCCAUUGCAAACUAGAUGCCGCAUCAUUCUUUAUAAAGCCUUGAUUUCAAUGGCUGGGCUGACAGAGCAAAGAAGGACAAAUACUGUAACUGUCCUGAUAAUGAUAAAAAUGUUUACCGUGUUGGCUAAUUUUCUGUCCACUUGACACGGGUUAGAGUCACUUGAGAGGGAGGAACCCCAGUUGAGAAAUUACUCCAUAAGAUUGGGCUGUAGGCAGGCCUGGAGGGCAUUUUCUUGAUUGAUGGGGGAGGGCCCAGCCCACUGUGGGUGGGGCCAUCCCUGGGCUGGUGGUCCUGGGUUCUGUAAGAAAGCAGGCUGAAGGAAGCCAUGGGAGCAAGCCAGUAAGAGCACCUUCCAUGGCCUCUGCAUCAGCUCCUGCCUGUGAGUUCCUGCCCUGUUUGAGUUCCUGUCCUCACUGCCUUUGAUGAGCUAUUAUGUGGAAUCGUGAGCGAAAUAAACUCUUUCCUUCUCAA